rnacentral:rRNA from 1 species
AACUUCGCAUGGGCGAUAGCCUGCGGAGCAAUGCCGCGUGUGGGAUGAAGCAUCUUCGAUGUGUAAACCACUGUCAAGGUCUAGGAAUACUGACCAGACCUAAAGGAAGGGCCGGCUAAUUCCGUGCCAGCAGCCGCGGUAAUACGGAAGGCCCGAGCGUUAAUCGGAAUCACUGGGCUUAAAGCGUACGCAGGCGGACUUGUAGGUAUUUUGUGAAAUCCCACGGCUUAACCGUGGAACUGCAGGGUAAACCACAAGUCUUGAGACAUGUAGGGGUCAGUGGAACCAUGAGUGGUAGCGGUGAAAUGCGUAGAUAUUCAUGGGAACGCCAAUGGCGAAGGCAGCUGACUGGGCAUGUUCUGACGCUCAGGUACGAAAGCGUGGGUAGCGAACGGGAUUAGAUACCCCGGUAGUCCACGCCGUAAACGAUGCACACUAGUUCGUGGGAUCUCUCAUGAUUUCGCGGACGAAGGUAAACUGGUUAGUGUGCCGCCUGGGGAGUACGGUCGCAAGGCUAAAACUCAAAGGAAUUGACGGGGGCUCACACAAGCGGUGGAGCAUGUUGCUUAAUUCGAGGCAACGCGAAGAACCUUACCUGGGCUUGACAUGUAUGGAUUAGCUUAUGGAAACAUAAGUAACGCCCUUGGGUGGAACAUACACAGGUGCUGCAUGGCUGUCGUCAGCUCGUGCUGUGAAGUGUCGGGUUAAGUCCCUUAACGAGCGCAACCCCUAUCGUUAGUUACUAACGCGUUAUGGCGAGGACUCUAGCGAGACUGCCGGUGUCAAACCGGAGGAAGGUGGGGAUGACGUCAAGUCCUCAUGGCCUUUAUGCCCAGGGAUGCAAACGUGCUACAAUGGUACGGACAAAAGCGAUGCGAUA